GUGCCUGUAGCUCAAUUGGACAGAGCGUCGGUCUACGGAACCGAAGGUUGCAGGUUCGAGUCCUGCCAGGCGCG
rnacentral:tRNA from 1 species